rnacentral:piRNA from 1 species
UCCUAACCGAUCUGUGGGGCUGUGU